CUACGGGAGGCACCAGUGGGGAAUAUUGGACAAUGGGGGAAACCCUGAUCCAGCAAUGCCGCGUGUGUGAAGAAGGCCUGCGGGUUGUAAAGCACUUUCGGUUGGGAGGACUGCUUCUAGCACUAAUAUUGUUGGAAGUUGACGUUACCUUCAGAAGAAGCACCGGCUAACUCCGUGCCAGCAGGCCGCGGUAAUACGGAGGGGUGCAAGCGUUAAUCGGAAUUACUGGGCGUAAAGCGCGCGUAGGCGGCUAGAUCAGUCGGGUGUGAAAGCCCCGGGCUUAACCGGGGAACUGCAUCCGAUACUGUCUAGCUUGAGUACAGGAGAGGAGAGUGGAAUUCCACAUGUAGCGGUGAAAUGCGUAGAUAUGUGGAGGAACACCAAUGGCGAAGGCAGCUCUCUGGCCUGAUACUGACGCUGAGGUGCGAAAGCGUGGGGAGCAAACAGGAUUAGAUACCCCAGUAGUC
rnacentral:rRNA from 1 species